UACAGAGGUCUCAAGCGUUGUUCGGAUUCAUUGGGCGUAAAGGGUGUGUAGGCGGCGCGCUAAGUCGGGUGUGAAAUUUCGGAGCUUAACUCCGAAACUGCAUUCGAUACUGGCGUGCUUGAGGACUGGAGAGGAGACUGGAAUUCAUGGUGUAGCAGUGAAAUGCGUAGAGAUCAUGAGGAAGACCAGUGGCGAAGGCGGGUCUCUGGACAGUACCUGACACUGAGACACGAAGGCCAGGGGAGCAAACGGG
rnacentral:rRNA from 1 species